GGGUUCGUGACUGGGGUGAAGUCGUAACAAGGUAGCCGUAGGGGAACCUGCGGCUGGAUCACCUCCUUU
rnacentral:rRNA from 1 species